rnacentral:misc_RNA from 1 species
AUGGAGAAUUGAUGAACGCUGUUCAUCAAUAAAGUUUCCGUGUUUCGUUUUGUUCAGUUUUGAGAGAACUAUCUCUCAUAUAUAAAUGUAUGUUCUUUGAAAACUAGAUAACAGUGUAGCUCAUAUUUUUUAAUUUUUAG